CUGCGCCGAUGGUACUUGGGGCGCGAGCCCCUGGGAGAGUAGGGCGUUGCCGGGC
rnacentral:rRNA from 1 species